CAUACGGGUUGAAGCAUGACCGUAAGGACAUGUGGACAGUAUGGGAGUGAGAAUGUUGGCAUGAGUAGCGAGAUGUGGGUGAGAAUCCCACAGGCCGUAAACCCAAGGUUUCCAGGGGAAGGUUCGUCCGCCCUGGGUUAGUCGGGACCUAAGCUGAGGCCGAAAGGCGUAGGUGAUGGACAACAGGUUGAUAUUCCUGUACUACCGAUAACCGUUUGAGAGAAGGGAUGACACAGUAGGAUAAGCUAAGCACACUGUUGGUUAUGUGUGCCCAAGCAUUGAGGCAGUCAAAGCAGGCAAAUCCGCUUUGAUAAUGCUGGGAUGUGAUGGGGAGCGAAAUUUAGUAGCGAAGUAGCUGAUUUCACACUGUCAAGAAAAGUCUCUAUCGAGGUUAAAGGUACCCGUACCGCAAACCGACACAGGUGGGUGAGGAGAGUAUCCUAAGGCCAGCGAGAGAACUGUUGUUAAGGAACUCGGCAAAAUGACCCCGUAACUUAGGGAUAAGGGGUGCCACCAUCCGGUGGCCGCAGAGAAUAGGCCCAAGCGACUGUUUACCAAAAACAUAGGUUUCUGCUAAGUCGCAAGACGAUGUAUAGGAGCUGACGCCUGCCCGGUGCUGGAAGGUUAAGGGGAUCUGUUAGAGCAAUCGAAGCAGUGAACUUAAGCCCCAGUAAACGGCGGCCGUAACUAUAACGGUCCUAAGGUAGCGAAAUUCCUUGUCGGGUAAGUUCCGACCCGCACGAAAGGCGUAACGAUUUGGGCACUGUCUCAACAACAGACUCGGUGAAAUUGUAA
rnacentral:rRNA from 1 species